rnacentral:rRNA from 1 species
GAUGAACGCUGGCGGCGUGCCUAAUACAUGCAAGUCGAGCGAACGGACGAGAAGCUUGCUUUUCUGAUGUUAGCGGCGGACGGGUGAGUAACACGUGGAUAACCUACCUAUAAGACUGGGAUAAUUUCGGGAAACCGGAGCUAAUACCGGAUAAUAUUUUGAACCGCAUGGUUCAAAAGUGAAAGACGGUCUUGCUGUAACUUAUAGAUGGAUCCGCGCUGCAUUAGCUAGUUGGUAAGGUAACGGCUUACCAAGGCAACGAUGCAUAGCCGACCUGAGAGGGUGAUCGGCCACACUGGAACGGAGACACGGUCCAUACGCCUACGGGAGGCAGCAGUAGGGAAUCUUCCGCAAUGGGCGAAAGCCUGACGGAGCAACGCCGCGUGAGUGAUGAAGGUCUUCGGAUCGUAAAACUCUGUUAUUAGGGAAGAACAUAUGUGUAAGUAACUGUGCACAUCUUGACGGUACCUAAUCAGAAAGCCACGGCUAACUACGUG